UAAUCUCAAAUCAACAUUUUAGUUAAUCUAAUUUGUUGACUUGGACUUGGAGGUUGUGCUGAUUUUAUUAUUGGCUCCUCUUAAAUGCAUUAGCUGGAUUACUAUCAGUAAUAGUCCAUGGUGUUGUAAUCUCGGCGCUGUGACUUAACUAAUACAAUCUGCUUCUAAAAUAGUUGCCUUUGGCAAUAUUUGCAA
rnacentral:misc_RNA from 1 species